CCUACGGGUGGCAGCAGUGAGGAAUAUUGGUCAAUGGACGAGAGUCUGAACCAGCCAAGUAGCGUGAAGGAUGACUGCCCUAUGGGUUGUAAACUUCUUUUAUAUGGGAAUAAAAUGUUCCACGUGUGGGCUUUUGUAUGUACCAUAUGAAUAAGGAUCGGCGAACUCCGUGCCAGCAGCCGCUGUAAUACGGAGGAUCCGAGCGUUAUCCGGAUUUAUUGGGUUUAAAGGGAGCGUAGGUGGAUUGUUAAGUCAGUUGUGAAAGUUUGCGGCUCAACCGUAAAAUUGCAGUUGAAACUGGCAGUCUUGAGUACAGUAGAGGUGGGCGGAAUUCGUGGUGUAGCGGUGAAAUGCUUAGAUAUCACGAAGAACUCCGAUUGCGAAGGCAGCUCACUGGACUGCAACUGACACUGAGGCUCGAAAGUGUGGGUAUCAAACAGGAUUAGAUACCCCAGUAGUC
rnacentral:rRNA from 1 species